AUGACAGGCUGUGGGAAUUUCUAUAGGAGCGAGAUAUUGCAGAAGAAGUUAUUGAGUAAAUGAAACAGAAAAAUAGGAGCUGAUACGAUUGAUGGCAAAGUGUUGCUCUUAAUGAGUGACGAGGAUCUUUCACAACAUUUACCUCUGUAUGGUGAUAGAUUGGCGGAGAAAAACUGUUGUUAUCGUCAAAGUGGGACAAGUGUCAAAAGUAAA